AUGAGAAACUGGUUAGUCCACAGUUUCUUUUGCUUGAAUAAAUAUUAGUCAUUGAAACUUCUAAAAAUUAUACUGACGCUGAAGUAACCGAGGCCACUGAUGGAGCCCUAAAGUUUACUCUCAUCAUUUGGUGCUGUCUUGAUUUUAGGAAGUCCUCUUAUAGCUCAUCACCUACUGUCAUUAAAGCUGCUGAUAUUGGGAUCGUUGAGUUAUAAAUAUCUAGGUUUGGUACUUGACUAUAAACUGUGUUUUGAAUCUCAUGCUGAUGCCACUACUAAAAAUGUUCAACAACGACUGUUCUUUUUAAGGAAAAUGAGAUCUUUUAAUGUCUCAUCUGAGAUGCUGUCUUUGUUUUAUAGAAGUUUUAUCGAAUCUGUGAUGUCCUUUUGUAUCGCUGCCUGGUUUGGUAACCUGACGGUGAAGAAUAAGAAUCGGUUGGGACUUCUGUGAGUUUGAGUUGUUGCCUUCCGGCCGCCGUUACCUCCGAGGAAGACCAAAAGACUCCAGGUUUCUUUUAUCCCCACUGCAUCUUGUCUCCUUAAUGGCAAAUAACUGUCCUUAGACUUUCUAUUAUUGUCAUUAUUAUUUUAUAUUAUUUUUCUGUUUCCUUUUAUCCUGCUGCUAAACUAAUCUCCCCUUGUGGGACAAUAAAGAAUUUGAAUUGAAUUGAAUUGAGGAGGAACAUACCCAUAUAAGGUAAUAAACUUUUCAUUCUUAGUGUUAAGAUUAGUGUUAAGAUGUUUAUACUAUACCAGUAUUUUUAAAAUGCACAAUAAACUUUUUUGCCUUCCAGUAAAAGCUAAAUCAAACUAUGACUUACUUUUAUUUGUAAAGAAA